rnacentral:lncRNA from 1 species
UUUGAACAACAGCUAAGACUGGCAGUGCUCCGGCGGCGGCGGUGCUUCUUGCAGAUCACAAGAGAGCUUUUACGCAGCACGGAGGAGCAAGCGGCUGGGUGAUUGGGAGAAAACUGGGGGAGUUGAGGGGAGAGUUCCUCAAGAACUUGGCGUGUGGCGCUAGGAGCUUAAGCAGGGAGCAAGAGAGUGGCUGAAGGCAACAAUGGCGGAGGGAAA